rnacentral:rRNA from 1 species
AGUGAACGCUGGCGGUAGGCCUAACACAUGCAAGUCGAACGGCAGCACAGUAAGAGCUUGCUCUUACGGGUGGCGAGUGGCGGACGGGUGAGGAAUACAUCGGAAUCUACUUUUUCGUGGGGGAUAACGUAGGGAAACUUACGCUAAUACCGCAUACGACCUACGGGUGAAAGCAGGGGUUCUUCGGACCUUGCGCGAUUGAGUGAGCCGAUGUCGGAUUAGCUAGUUGGCGGGGUAAAGGCCCACCAAGGCGACGAUCCGUAGCUGGUCUGAGAGGAUGAUCCGCCACACUGGAACUGAGACACGGUCCAGACUCCUACGGGAGGCAGCAGUGGGGACUAUUGGACAAUGGGCGCAAGCCUGAUCCAGCCAUACCGCGUGGGUGAAGAAGGCCUUCGGGUUGUAAAGCCCUUUUGUUGGGAAAGAAAAGCAGCAGGUUAAUACCCCGCUGUUCUGACGGUACCCAAAGAAUAAGCACCGGCUAACUUCGUG